rnacentral:misc_RNA from 1 species
AACCAUAGAAACCUGCGGAGUACCUGCGGAGGGAUCAUUACCGAGUUUACAACUCCCAAACCCCUGUGAACAUACCACUUGUUGCCUCGGCGGAUCAGCCCGCUCCCGGUAAAACGGGACGGCCCGCCAGAGGACCCCUAAACUCUGUUUCUAUAUGUAACUUCUGAGUAAAACCAUAAAUAAAUCAAAACUUUCAGCAAUGGAUCU